CCUACGGGUGGCAGCAGUGAGGAAUAUUGGUCAAUGGACGAGAGUCUGAACCAGCCAAGUAGCGUGAAGGAUGACUGCCCUAUGGGUUGUAAACUGCUUUUAUAAAGGAAUAAAACGAGGCACGUGUGCCUUUUUGCAUGUACUUUAUGAAUAAGGAUCGGCUAAUUCCGUGCCAGCAGCCGCGGUAAUACGGAGGAUCCGAGCGUUAUCCGGAUUUAUUGGGUUUAAAGGGAGCGUAGGUGGGUUGUUAAGUGAGUUGUGAAAGGUUGUGGCUCAACCGUAAAAUUGCAAUGGGUACUGGCAGUCUUGAGUGCAGUGGAGGUAGGCGGAAUUCGUGGUGUAGCGGUGAAAUGCUUAGAUAUCACGAAGAACCCCGAUUGCGAAGGCAGCUUACUAAACUGUGACUGACAUUGAUGCUCGAAAGUGUGGGUAUCAAACAGGAUUAGAUACCCGAGUAGUC
rnacentral:rRNA from 1 species